rnacentral:lncRNA from 1 species
CCAAGUGAAGAUUCAUCGACAUCAACAACUUUAUUUACGAUAUUUAACUUUGGGAUGUACAUACACUAACGAUCUGCCCAGAUUACAAAAAUGAGCAAAAAAAAACCCUCCAUCUCCUCAAACAAAACAAACGUAUAUCAAAAGAUGAAAGAGAUUAUUACAACCGUGUAUAUAGAUAGAUAGAUAGAUAGAUAGAUAGAAGAACCAGCGGCGCAGAGACUACUACUCGGCGAUCCUUCCGUGCACUGUCUGACCGGAGAAUUUGUACCAAUGCUUGUGGAUUAGGGUUUUAGA